rnacentral:lncRNA from 1 species
GUCUUCUGCUAACUUAGUCUCAGUCAGAGCUUGCAUGGUGAAAGUUUCCUGUAACUGCCAUCAGUUCAGUAAAAUAUUUGCUAAAUGCAAAAAAUGUGGUUGCACUGGGUUUUGUUAAGUUUCUUAAUAAAGGGCAGUGCAUGUUCAGCCUUCAUAGUAACUCAGAUGUGACACAAAUAAUGCAGCAAAUAAUUACAAUGACCUUUUGCUCACCUCAAAUUUAAACAAAGGUUAAGCUGCCCUUUAGAAAAGUAAAUAUUUUCUGUAGUCUAAUAAGUGUAGACACCUUUAGAAACAAGGACGUAUUGCCAAACUAAACUAAAAUGAAAAUUGUUACAAUAGAAUAAUUUCAAAACAGAAAAGAUGCAAAUCUCUGCACCCAGCCAGACAUCCUGGCAUCGCAGGCAGUCCCUUACCUUGCAAAACUCCCAGGCUGAUCUCCAUAUGGUUUCCAAGAACUGUUGCUUGAAAUUUCUGUCCAGCCACAGCAGAUAGGAGAGAGAAAUAUUAAAAAUAAGAAAGUGCAUAAUCUCCUUGCCCCCUUAAAUCUAGUAAACAAUUUAUAUUUGAUUUCAUACAACAGAAUGAAUCCACGGACCUUUAAGUAAUUAAGAAACAGACACUGAGGCUUAAAAAAUAAACUUAAGGGAAAAUCUCACAUAGUGGCCAGGAAAUGGCUCAUAGGUUUUAUUUAGUUCUCAUAGUCCAAGGUUUAGCUGUUAGCUAGAUAAGAGCCAGGUGUGUUUUACACAUCUAAUUUGUUUAGUCUGAAGCUAAUUCAAACAGCGCUCUUUAACUACAAGUCUGCAAGUGACAUUUCAAAUCUAAAUCCAGGAUCAAUUCAUGUCACAUAUAUUGAGGGUCUCUCACUGGGAAGGAGCACUUCUGGGGAAGGACAUUCUCACUUUUUUUCUGGUGUGCUUGUUGUGGUUUUGUUGUUGUUGUUUUGGUGUUUUGUGGUUUGGUUGGUUUGUUUUUUGUGGAUUUUUAUGUAAGUUAUACUAACACUACUUACAAUAAAAUUGGAAAAAGUUCACUAUUACCUAGCACAGUUGAUGGGGCUUUAGUGACCUACAGGACUACAGGAAGGGGCUCUCUGCUUUUCUCCUUUGGCCCAGGCAGCCUAGGAGUUCCUGCUGGAGAGGCAGCUCUGGUGCUGGGCACUGGGGCUCUGCACCCUGCAGAAGUGAGAAGGAUUUGGGCUCCUCCACACCUGCACAGGGAUGAGGCUCCACGGCUACCCGCCUGCAGCCAGAUGGCAAGGCCACAUCUGACAAUAAGGGAAUUGCAAAAUAUUUGGUGGGCAACCACUUUAUGCAUGGAAAAAGAUGAGGAAACUAGUACAGCAAUCUCCCUGAAGAGUCACCUUUGAAAGUGAUGUCUCUUCCUGAUGGACUCUUGACCCACUACUGUCCAGCUGCUGUUCACGUGGAUGCAAAUCCAGCAGCAUCAAUAUUACCAAACCUCAGAAGGAUAAAAACCUUCCUGAGUUGAGAGAUUUUUUUUUUCCAAAAUACAGGAUUUUCACCCCUCUGAACUAUUAAUCUGUUGUUUUGUUUGUUUUAGUGAUUUUUAUUUAUUUUAGUGAUUUUUAUUUAUUUAUUUAUUG